rfam:Bacteroidales bacterium 43_8 Ley3_66761_scaffold_5866, whole genome shotgun sequence.
AAUGGAAUUUCCGAAAACCAUCAAAAGAGUAGGAA